rnacentral:rRNA from 1 species
GAUGAACGCUGGCGGCGUGCCUAAUACAUGCAAGUCGAGCGAACGGACGAGAAGCUUGCUUCUCUGAUGUUAGCGGCGGACGGGUGAGUAACACGUGGAUAACCUACCUAUAAGACUGGGAUAACUUCGGGAAACCGGAGCUAAUACCGGAUAAUAUUUUGAACCGCAUGGUUCAAAAGUGAAAGACGGUCUUGCUGUCACUUAUAGAUGGAUCCGCGCUGCAUUAGCUAGUUGGUAAGGUAACGGCUUACCAAGGCAACGAUGCAUAGCCGACCUGAGAGGGUGAUAGGCCACACUGGAACUGAGACACGGUCCAUACUCCUACGGGAGGCAGCAGUAGGGAAUCUUCCGCAAUGGGCGAAAGCCUGACGGAGCAACGCCGCGUGAGUGAUGAAGGUCUUCGGAGCGUAAAACUCUGUUAUUAGUGAAGAACAUAUGUGUAAGUAACUGUGCACAUCUUGACGGUACCUAAUCAGAAAGCCACGGCUAACUACGUG